rnacentral:rRNA from 1 species
GAGAAUAAAGUUAUUAAUUGGCUUUUUGUUUAUUAUUUAUAUUAAUUUAAUGUAAAUUUAAUUUAAGUGUUUUAUUAUUUUUUAUAGAAAAAAUUUGAUUAAUUAUAGAUUAUUUUUAUUGAAAAAGAUUUUUUUUUAUUUAUGAAAAAGUAAAAUUUAUUUUUUGUACCUUGUGUAUCAGGGUUUAUUAAAUUAUUAUUUAAGAUUGUUUUAUCUCGAAGGAAAGGUAUUUAUAGUUAUAUAAUUUUUAUUGUUGAAAAAAUAUUUUAAAUAUAAUUAUGGUAAUUAGAAGUUUUUCGUUCUUUAUUUAUCUGGUUUUUUAAGAAAUAAAUUUAAUUUAAUAUUUUUAAUAUAAAGUAUUUGUUUAUAGAAUAGUUUUAUUUAGAAAUAAAAUAUUUUAUGGGAUUAUCUUUAAAAUAUUUUUUAUAAAUUUUUAGUUUUGUUAAAUUUGUAAGUUUAGAAUUAUUUAUUAGUUAGAGAAUGUUAUAAUUAAUUUAAUUUUUAAUAAGAUUUAUAUUUGUUUUAGGUUUUAUAUUAAAAUUAUUUUUAAAAUUAUUUAAAUUAUUUAAUAAUGAUAGAAUUAGUAUAAUUUAUUUGUUUAUUUAUAAAUUUUUAUUUAAUUAUAAUAUAGGAAUUCGGCAAUUUAGUUCUUGAAUGUUUAUCAAAAACAUUUCUUUUAGGAUUUAAAUAAAAGUAAGGCCUGCUCAAUGAAAUUUUAAAUAGCUGCGGUAUUUUGACCGUACAAAGGUAGCAUAAUCAUUAGUUUUUUAAUUGAAAGCUAGAAUGAAUGGUUUAACAAGGAAUUAACUGUCUUUAUUUUAUUAUUAGAAUUUAAUUUUUUAGUUAAAAAGCUAAAAUUUAUUUAAAAGACGAGAAGACCCUAUAGAUCUUUAUUUAAUUUGAUUGGUUUUAUAUUAUGGAUUUAUUUUUUUAACUAAAAAAUUAAAUUUUAUUGGGGUGAUAUAAAGAUUUAAUAAACUCUUUAUUUUUUUUUAUUAAUUAUUUUUAUUUUUUUGAUCCUUUUUAUAGAUUAUAAGAUUAAGUUACCUUAGGGAUAACAGCGUAAUUUUUUUAAAGAGUUCUUAUCGAUAAAAAAGAUUGCGACCUCGAUGUUGGAUUAAGAAAAAAUUUUGGUGUAGAGUUUAAAAUUUUAAGUCUGUUCGACUUUUGAAUUCUUACAUGAUCUGAGUUCAGACCGGCGUGAGCCAGGUUGGUUUCUAUCUUUAAUAAUUUAAAAUAUUUUAGUACGAAAGGACCAAAUAUUU